rnacentral:rRNA from 1 species
GAUGAACGCUGGCGGCGUGCCUAAUACAUGCAAGUCGAGCGAACAGACGAGGAGCUUGCUCCUCUGACGUUAGCGGCGGACGGGUGAGUAACACGUGGAUAACCUACCUAUAAGACUGGGAUAACUUCGGGAAACCGGAGCUAAUACCGGAUAAUAUAUUGAACCGCAUGGUUCAAUAGUGAAAGACGGUUUUGCUGUCACUUAUAGAUGGAUCCGCGCCGCAUUAGCUAGUUGGUAAGGUAACGGCUUACCAAGGCAACGAUGCGUAGCCGACCUGAGAGGGGGAUGGGCCACACGGGAACUGAGACACGGUCCAGAGUCCUAGGGGAGGCAGCAGUGGGGAAUCUUGCGAAAUGGGCGAAAGCCUGAAGGAGCAACGCCGGGGGGGUGAAGAAGGUCUUCGGAUCGUAAAACUCUGUUAUUGGGGAAAAACAAAUGUGUAAGUAACGAUGCAGGUUUUGACGGUACCAAAAAAGAAAGCCACGGCUAAUUAGGG